GACUCGACCUCAUCUGAAACACACAAGAAAGCCAUCGUGUUCUCCGUCGUCAUGUGUUGGUCUGAGAUGCUGCUAAGUAUCCUGGCUGUCGGCAUGUGGCAACGGACCUUGCUUCCACGAAAGCCUUACGCUUCUUUACAUGCAACCUGCAGUGAGUAUCCGAGAUCGACGAAGCCCCCUUUUCAUCGUCUCUUCCUUCCUGUGCUUUCUCUCUGAUGAGCUCUCAACCCGGCUCUUUCCUCGCUAUGCCCUGGUAGGAACUGAGGGAAUCACGUUUCAGCUCGCCGGAAAAUUUUCGAUCCCAGUUCCACAUAGUUCUGAUCAGCUUCCUUUAGUAUGAGUCUGUUUCCAGUAUGGGGAUUUCUGUUUCACCUUCAAAGAUCCAUUCUUCAAACCGAUUUGAUACAUAUAAGGAGGUUCUAUUGAAUUUCAGUGCAAACCCAUUUGAUCAACUAGGGGAAUUCCAAUGCAUGUAUCUUUUGGCUUCAACCGUGCAAGAUUCGAGUCCUUGCUCAGUUUAUAUAUUCCAUGUAGUCAUUGGACAAACUACAAAGAAUGCACCACAAAUGAGGAUUCUACAGUUUUGACUCAUGCAAAGCAGUAAAUGGACUACCAACUGCUAAUGCCUAAAGG